AACGAACGCUGGCGGCAUGCCUAACACAUGCAAGUCGAACGAGACCUUCGGGUCUAGUGGCGCACGGGUGCGUAACGCGUGGGAACCUGCCCUUAGGUUCGGAAUAACUCCCCGAAAGGGGUGCUAAUACCGGAUAAUGUCCUCGGACCAAAGAUUUAUCGCCUUUGGAUGGGCCUGAGUUGGAUUAGCUAGUUGGUAGGGUAAAAGCCUACAAAGGCGACGAUCCAUAGCUGGUUUGAGAGGAUGAGCAGCCACACUGGGACUGAGAAACGGCCCAGACUCCUACGGGAGGCAGCAGUGGGGGAUAUUGGACUAUGGGCGAAAGCCUGAUCCAGCAAUGCCGCGUGAGUGAUGAAGGCCUUAGGGUUGUAAAGCUCUUUUACCCGGGAUGAUAAUGACAGUACCGGGAGAAUAAGCUCCGGCUAACUCCGUG
rnacentral:rRNA from 1 species